GUCCCCGUGUGCUGUUGGGUUCAGGUGCUGAGGUUUCCCUGCUCUAAUGGGGUGACUCAGCAGCAGCACGCUGGCAGGUCCCGAGCUCAGCGAGCAGGGGAACGAUGAAUUUCUCCAACCAUCCCGUCCCACUGGAAAGGCUGGCUCUGCUGUCCUCUCCCCGAGCAUCUUGGGAGCCGCGGUGACGGUCCGCGGCUGUUUUGAGGCUGGGCUGUGAGAUCAGAGCACAAACCAGUUCUUCUUCACCUUUCAUCAUCGGGGCGGGAGCAGGGCCUUGCUCUGUGUGUGCUGCUUGGCGUUGAGCUGAGGGCAGAGGGUUCCAUCCCAGGCAGAGCUGCCCCAGGCGUGGCCAGGAUCCUCAGCAGGGUCAGAAGUGGCUGCAGUGAAAAUGGCAAUUGCCCCUAAUUUGUUGGUAAUAAGACUCGGCCUCUCCCCAUGGCCUGGGCCAAGGUGUGCUGAUUGCUGGAGAAGGGUGCCCGGUCCCUGCCCGGGUAAGCUUGCCCUGCAAAGCUGUGAGGGCAGUGAGAAAACACCCUCAGAAGCACUGAGAAACAUUCCGUGCCAGAUGAGCGCUAGGAAAGAGAACAACCCUUGCCAAAGGCCAGCCAGAAAGUGCUUUGCUGCGGCCUGGCAAGGCAGACAGGGACCCAAAAUGCUCCAGCAAAGCAGGUGGGACACCCUCUCACACUGCAGACCCACAGACUUGGAGUGCAGCUGAGGCAGCAGGGAGGGAAGCGGCAAGGCAUGGAACAACAGGUCCCAGCAGCGAGGUGCCAGCCUGGGGGACACGCACACCUCGAGCCCCAGGUCGGGGACACUCACACCUAUGGCACGGGGCCGUCGUGGCCGUGCCUCGUGGCCAUCUGUGGGCAGAGCAUCGUGCCCUGGG
ensembl:lncRNA